UCCAGACUCCUACGGGAGGCAGCAGUGGGGAAUAUUGCACAAUGGGGGGAACCCUGAUGCAGCGACGCCGCGUGAGUGAAGAAGUAUUUCGGUAUGUAAAGCUCUAUCAGCAGGGAAGAAAAUGACGGUACCUGACUAAGAAGCCCCGGCUAACUACGUGCCAGCAGCCGCGGUAAUACGUAGGGGGCAAGCGUUAUCCGGAUUUACUGGGUGUAAAGGGAGCGUAGACGGCGAGACAAGUCUGGAGUGAAAGGCCGGGGCCCAACCCCGGGACUGCUCUGGAAACUGGCUGGCUGGAGUACAGGAGAGGUAAGUGGAAUUCCUAGUGUAGCGGUGAAAUGCGUAGAUAUUAGGAGGAACACCAGUGGCGAAGGCGGCUUACUGGACUGUAACUGACGUUGAGGCUCGAAAGCGUGGGGAGCAAACAGGAUUAGAUACCCCCGUACC
rnacentral:rRNA from 1 species